UCCGGCUUACACCGGCGGUCUCGUGUGAGUCCCCGACAUUACUCGCUGGUAACACACGACGAGGGUUGCGCUCGUUGGCGGACUUAACCGUACACCUCACGGCACGAGCUGACGACAGCCAUGCAACAAGUGUCUUCACGUCUCCUUGUGGGAGAGGGCCUACUUUCAUAGGCUUGCGAUCGAUGUCAAGUCUGGGUAAGGUUCUUCGGUUAGUAUCGAAUUAAUCCACAUGCUCCACCGCUUGUGCGGGUCCCCGUCAAUUCAUUUGAGUUUCAACCUUGCGGCCGUAGUCCCCAGGCGGGAUACUUAGUGCGUUAGCUGCGGCACUGGAGGGGUCGAUACCUCCAACGCCUAGUAUCCAUCGUUUAGGGCGUGGACUAC
rnacentral:misc_RNA from 1 species